AAGUGUUGGAGGGUUUCCGCCCUUCAGUGCUGCAGCUAACGCAUUAAGCACUCCGCCUGGGGAGUACGACCGCAAGGUUGAAACUCAAAGGAAUUGACGGGGGCCCGCACAAGCGGUGGAGCAUGUGGUUUAAUUCGAAGCAACGCGAAGAACCUUACCAGGUCUUGACAUCCUUUGACCACUCUAGAGAUAGAGCUUCCCCUUCGGGGGCAAAGUGACAGGUGGUGCAUGGUUGUCGUCAGCUCGUGUCGUGAGAUGUUGGGUUAAGUCCCGCAACGAGCGCAACCCUUAUUGUUAGUUGCCAUCAUUCAGUUGGGCACUCUAGCAAGACUGCCGGUGACAAACCGGAGGAAGGUGGGGAUGACGUCAAAUCAUCAUGCCCCUUAUGACCUGGGCUACACACGUGCUACAAUGGGAAGUACAACGAGUUGCGAAGUCGCGAGGCUAAGCUAAUCUCUUAAAGCUUCUCUCAGUUCGGAUUGCAGGCUGCAACUCGCCUGCAUGAAGCCGGAAUCGCUAGUAAUCGCGGAUCAGCACGCCGCGGUGAAUACGUUCCCGGGCCUUGUACACACCGCCCGUCACACCACGAGAGUUUGUAACACCCGAAGUCGGUGAGGUAACCUUUUUGGAGCCAGCCGCCUAAGGUGGGAUAGAUGAUUGGGGUGAAGUCGUAACAAGGUAGCCGUAUCGGAAGGUGCGGCUGGAUCACCUCCUUUCUAAGGAA
rnacentral:rRNA from 1 species